rnacentral:tRNA from 1 species
CCCUAAGAAGCUAACCUAAGCAUUGGCCUUUUAAGCCAAAGAAGGACGCGCUGCGCAUCCCUCAGGGC